UUGACGGGACCGCACAAGCGGUGGAUGAUGUGGUUAAUUCGAUGCAACGCGAAAACCUUACCACCUUUGACAUGUACGGAAUCCUUUAGAGAUAGAGGAGUGCUCGAAAGAGAGCCGUAACACAGGUGCUGCAUGGCUGUCGUCAGCUCGUGUCGUGAGAUGUUGGGUUAAGUCCCGCAACGAGCGCAACCCUCGCUGUUAGUUACAAGUGUCUAACAGGACUGCCGGUAUCAAACCGGAGGAAGGUGGGGAUGACGUCAAGUCAGCAUGGCCUUUAUAUCCAGGGCUACACACACGCUACAAUGGUCGGUACAGAGGGUUGCCAAGCCGCGAGGCGGAGCUAAUCUCACAAAGCCGGCCUCAGUUCGGAUUGCAGGCUGCGACUCGCCUGCAUGAAGCUGGAGUUGCUAGUAAACGCCGGUCAGCUAUACGGCGUUGAAUAUGUUCCCGGGCCUU
rnacentral:rRNA from 1 species